AUUGAACGCUGGCGGCAGGCCUAACACAUGCAAGUCGAACGGUAACAGGAAGAAGCUUGCUUCUUUGCUGACGAGUGGCGGACGGGUGAGUAAUGUCUGGGAAACUGCCUGAUGGAGGGGGAUAACUACUGGAAACGGUAGCUAAUACCGCAUAACGUCGCAAGACCAAAGAGGGGGACCUUCGGGCCUCUUGCCAUCGGAUGUGCCCAGAUGGGAUUAGCUAGUAGGUGGGGUAACGGCUCACCUAGGCGACGAUCCCUAGCUGGUCUGAGAGGAUGACCAGCCACACUGGAACUGAGACACGGUCCAGACUCCUACGGGAGGCAGCAGUGGGAAAUAUUGCACAAAGGGCGCAAGCCUGAUGCAGCCAUGCCGCGUGUAUGAAGAAGGCCUUCGGGUUGUAAAGUACUUUCAGCGGGGAGGAAGGGAGUAAAGUUAAUACCUUUGCUCAUUGACGUUACCCGCAGAAGAAGCACCGGCUAACUCCGUG
rnacentral:rRNA from 1 species